GCACCAGUGGUGUAUGGUACACGCAGUCAUAUCAUAGAACCUCCAUACUAAUAGGAGUGACUGAGUCUGGGGUUCGAUUCCCCGCUGGUGCA